ACUCGUCUCGCCAUUCCAAUCAUCUAUGGCUUGGACGCAGUUCACGGCAACAACAAAUUCUACGGUACCACCAUUUUUUCUCACAACAUAGGACUCGGUGCCACCAGGUUCCUCCUAAACCACAGACAAUUUUAACCGAAUGAGGAAAAAAGACCAGCUCGGCUCGGUGUAUUGAUUCGGUUUCAUGAUAACAUGGCAGAGAUUACGAUCUAGCUAGAAUAAUUGGUUCAGCGACUGCUCUAGAAGUUAGGGCAAGUGGGGCUCACUGGGUAUUCGCUCCUUGUGUGGCGGUAAGUCUUCUCUAAUUUUAAAGAGAAAACAUGAACCAUAUGGACUGAUCAUGUUUGUGAGAUUUGGUAGGUGUGCAAAGAUCCGAGAUGGGGAAGAUGUUUGGAGAGCUACAGUGAAGACACUGACGUUGUAUGCAACAUGACAUCCAUUGUCUCCGGUCUUCAAGGACCUCCACCGGAAGGACAUCCCGCCGGUUUCCCUUUCCUAGCCGGAAGGUCCGUUUUCAUUAAAACAUUCCUUAGCAAGCAUGUAACAUCUUGCUCAUGUUCUUAAACUUGGGGGUUAUGUUUCAGGAACAAUGUGGUUGCAUGUGCAAAGCAUUUUGUUGGAGAUGGUGGUACAGAAAUGGGUAAGAAUGAAGGGGACACAAUAGCUUCAUAUGAAGACUUGGAGAGGAUUCAUAUGGCUCCUUACUUGAAUUGUCUUGCAGUCUCUGCGGUUAUGCCUUCUUAUUCUCGUUGGAACGGAAGAAAACUCCAUGGAGACCGCUUUCUCAUGACAGAAAUUCUCAAAGACAAAUUCGGUUUUAAGGUCGAAUCACAGUCACUUUUUUUCUCGUUGGAUCAAAAACUGACUAAAAUUUCUUAAAUUGUGGUCGUUCUGUUUUUGUAGGGAUGUUUGGUUUCAGAUUGGUCGGGAAUAGAAAAGAUGGGAGAACCCCGUGGUUCGAACUAUCGUGAGUGUGUGGAAGCUGCUAUCAACACUGGAAUAGACAUGGUCAUGGUCCCUUAUAGGUAUGAGAAGUUCAUCAAUGAGCUAACAUCUCUAGUGAAGGACGGGAAAAUACUUAUGUCUAGGAUCGAUGAUGCGGUCGAGAGAAUUCUGAGACUGAAGUUCACAGCUGGUCUCUUCGAACACCCUUUCUCUGACAUAUCGUUGCUGAAGUUUGUUGGCUGCAAGGUAGAUUCCACUUAUGAUUGCUCUCAUAAUCUGAAGUUAUGAAAUCAUAAAAUCGAAUUUUACACACAGGAACACAGAGAGAUAGCUCGUGAAGCGGUUAGGAAAUCUUUAGUUUUGUUAAAGAACGGGAAAGAUUCAGACAAACCAUUUCUACCGCUAGAUCGAAACGCAAAGAGAGUUUUAGUGGCAGGAACUCAUGCAGACAAUCUCGGGUUUCAGUGUGGUGGUUGGUCCAAGACUUGGCAGGGUCAAAGUGGUCGGAUCACAGUCGGUAAGCUACAAGAAACAAACUCUGCUUCCACAGAGUACUUUCUUGCGUAACAAGCUAGCUAUAACAUCCUCUAUUUCACGAGUGCAGGCACAACUGUCUUGGAUGCCGUCAAAGCAAUCGUAGGAGCAGAAACAAAAGUGGUUUACGAGAAGACUCCUUCGGAGGAGACUUUUCCAACGAGGACUUCUCAUACGCCAUUGUUGCCGUCGGGGAAGCGCCCUAUGCUGAAUCCCGAGGCGAUGAUCCAGAGCCGUCGAUACACUUCGAUGGGGAUUCGAUAGUGAGAUUGGUAGCUGAGAAGAUCCCGACAGUGGCGAUUCUGAUGACGGGACGACCUUUGGUUUUGGAUAUGACCAUGUUGGAGAAGGUGGAAGCUUUGGUGGCGGCUUGGUUGCCUGGAACUGAAGGAGAUGGAAUCGCCGAUUCGGUGUUCGGAGAUUACGAUUUCACUGGGAAGUUGCCGAUGUCGUGGUUCAGAGAGACAGAGCAGCUGCCGAUGAACCCUGAAGCUGAUAGCUACGAUCCAUUGUUCCCGUUAGGGUUUGGGCUUAAAUGUAAGAGAGAGUAAUAAUACUAGUCCAUGGGAGAGAAGUCAAAAUAAGGGAUUUCUUGGCCAAGUGUGUCUGAUCUAUUCUCAAUUGCAUUUGGAUUUGGUUUAGUCCGGUUUUCUCAUUUGCUCACUUUGGUUUUAUUGUUUUGGUGUGACGUUGUUUGGUGUAAGUCGUAUUUUAAAAACUUCAGAAGCUGUCUUCCAAUAAUUAAGAAAUUGUUUCCGAUAACAGAGUCUAUUGAAAUAUUGUGGCUUAUUGGUGGCACUAGCACAACAGAUAGGACAUAUGAAAUAUUGUGGCUUAUUGGUUAGAGCAUCAUUAUCCCUAGCACCCAUAAUGGGUAUCUUAAUCUCUUUUUUACUAAUAAAUGUGUGUUAAGCACUUUAUUUAAAAGCUUUCUAAUUUUUUGCCUCCAAUGCAAGAUUCUUAUUUUGGGGUUCUUAAAAAAAAUAUUAAACAUUGUUUUAUAUAAGAUAAAUUUUAUUUAUUAUAUAAGACAUAUUAAAAGAUAACAUUUAAAACAUUGAAUUUUAAAUAAAAACAUAAAAACAAAGAUUAGUAAAAUAUUCGAGAAUAAUUUGAAAACGUUUCAGAGAUGGAAGAGUGAAAUAACAUAUAUGAAUCUGUUGGAGUUGGAAGAGAAGGAGAGAGUUUUAAAGAGAGAAUGCAGACUCUCAUUAAACACUCUAAACAACUAUAACUAAUUACCUAACUACAAACAAAUGCAAGUUGACAUAUAUCUAACUUCUAUUAAUUACAAUUUCACAACCAUAAUAAAACACAUAGCAAGUAAUUUAUUAUUGACAAUUCAAUUCAUUUUCAAAAACAAAAAUUCAAUUCAUUUUCAAAAACAAAGCAACUCAUUCAACUACCUAACUUUACCACACACAAUCCUUUUCUUAAUUCAACAUCACUUCUAUUAAUUACAAACAUCAUUGCCAACUCACCAAAACAUUAACUACCUAACUCAACCAUAAAACUUUCAAUGAACGAAUAAAAGAUAAAGACAUUUACCUGUAUUGCUCCAGUAAAUGAAAUUAUGUGCUGUGAUCCUUCCUCAGCCUCCUUGAUCCAUGCAACUCAACAGACAAAAACACAGGAAAAAAAAACAAAAAUGAGUAACAGAUCAAGGAUUCAAAUUCAUGACACUCAAUUCAAUUGAGACAAGAAGCUAAAUCAUAUAAUUGAACUCUUAAACAAUUCAGACCAGACUAUUCAUCUCCCUCGAUUCAGUUCAGUUACGGAUCAAUUGGGGUACAUAACACACAGAUACAAAUCACAUGAUCAUAAACAAUCUAUUCAACUCAGACAAGAACGACAAUCAAUUCAUUUGAGACCAUACUCGUAAACACUUUCAAUCAAUAUCAUAAACGACCAACGAAUAAAACACAAAGUUUUUCUAUAAACAUUCAAUUUCAAAAACAAACACAAGAGACAGAGACAAAGACAGUGACAAAUGAAACCUUCAUGUCUAUUGAUCCGUCUUUGGUAAGAAACAAAGAAAGAGACAAAUUGUUUACCUGUUUUGCAGUUGUAGUGAUCUUCUGUAACGAACCUUCAUGUCUAUUGAUCCGUCCUUAUUGAUCCGUCCUUAGUAAGAAACAAAGACAGAGACAAAUGAAAAUUAAUCAAAACUAACCGAGACAACAAACAAAUCAAAUAACAUAGAAGGAUUCAGACAAGGAAUAAUACAUAUGCUUACCUUGCGAUUUGAUUUUCUCGAAGACAGCCACCAAGAGAGAGGUACAAGUUUGUCACCGACGAGGAGAUCCACCGAGAGAGAGGACAGCACCAUCGAGGAGAGAGACAGAGACGAGGAUUCCACCG
rnacentral:lncRNA from 1 species